rnacentral:misc_RNA from 1 species
CUGCUGCCAAGGCCCAUGGGGAGCGCCUGCAUCGCCUCGCAGCCUCGCGCAACAUCACAGCAGCGCCGCAACCGUACUCGCUUAUCCGAUUCUUCUUUUCUUGCCUUGUUGAGCAGGUCCGCCCCCUCCCCCUUCCCCACCUCCCUACGCCGCCUCCUCUGGUGCCGUUUUUCGUUGGUGGUGGUGCUCUCCUCUUUUUUUGCUCGACGCUCCGCUCUCCGUUCCUUUGACGAGCGUCAUGCGUACUGGAUGGCCGCCAAGACCGCUCUCGAGCUGAACAGCGUGGGCAGAGUCCCCCCGCGCGAAGGUGGCCUCUCGUCGCGUGUAGCGCCGUCGGUGGUGGAGGUGCUCCCGGGACUGUAUUUGAUUGCGACGAUAGUGCGGGCAAAGAACCGGUGUCUUCUGGAGCUGCUGCAACCAACGGCAACGUCUUCCGACGUAGUCUCUCGCUCGUCUGCGUCAACGCACAACGACGUGCUGCAACGACGCUUGUCGGAGUCCUUGGAAAGCUCCGCAAGACACGCAUCCGCAGUGAAUGUACCAGCGACACUCAUGUCCGCCUUUCGAGUGCCGCGAGUCAUCCAACUCGUCGCCGAGGAUGAGGGGAUUAUUGAAACCGUUGCCCUCGUUCGAGAACCGCUUGGCUUGGCGUUCUCGUCCGCUCCCGAGGGAGAAGAGGGCAGCGCUGCGCGGACGAGCGCCGUAGACGGCGCGUCGCCAACGUCCAUGCACCACGUGCAUGUGCACUUCUUCAUCGGCACUUCCAACGGCACGGUCCUCGUGGGAAACGCGUUGCGCGGCACCAUCGUGGCGGUCGCGCAGUUUCAGUACCAUCAUCGCUUCGAUGAUGAGCGACGGGGCGAUCGACUCACCACAACCUCCACCAGCCGCACAGGCGAAAGCCGCGAUGACCCGGCGGCAGGAUGCCCGAUGAACGAAAAGGUCACCGCUGUGAACCAGUCGGUGGUGAAGUUUGUGGUACGCCAGCGGUCCGACGCGCUGCUGUGGAAUCCAUCUCUUCCCUUCUCGCAACUGUCGGCGGGCGCGGGGUCGAACCGGGGUAGUGGCCGCUCAGCAAAAGCCAGCGAUACGCCCCCAUCUCCCACAGCGGACUCGCGCGUCGUGAGCGUCUUUGUCGCACACAGUGGCGGCAAGGUAGUCGAGCUCUCCCGCGCUGCACUGGACGUGUUUGUGCGCGUCUCUGUCAAUCGUCUUGAUGGUUGUCGCCCGCAUCUCAUAUUGGAGUGGUCGCCGGAGACGUCCACCACCGCCUUCCCAGUCGCCGGACCUGCCAGCGAGUUUGCUGCACACGUCGACUGUGUUUCGGUGUUGGCGCCGUCGCCGGCCUCGUACUCGACUCUCGAGAGCCGCACCGCGUCCACCAAGUCAGCAACGGCGGAGUCGACCACCUUCUCCAUUUGCGAUGUCGACAUCGUCAGAGAGCCCUUCGGCGGCGGAUCGUCGCCGCUGCUCUCUCCCCUUGAAGUACAGCGCGGCUUCUCCGAUGUGCUUCUUGUCGGCGGCACAAGCCCGCUCUUUUCGUCGUUUCGCCUACAACCUCCGCCCUCGCGCUUCUCGGCAUCCAACACAGUUGCGGCUGUCAAGCACAUGGUAACAGGUGUGGCUCGCUCGCUGUGGUCCAAAGCCAUCGGCACAUCGAAGACAGUGGAACACCCGCCGCACCUCAAAAAAGUCGCUGCACUGCGCACGCACACGCUUUUGCAAGCCGACGCGAAAUGCACUGCACUUCAGGUGGACCCCACGCAGCAAUGGGCGGCGCUUGCGAUUGAGGGUGGCGGCCGCAUCUACGUGGCCGAUGUGCAGAGCGGCAUCGUGGCUACGGUGCUGAAAGGCUGUCGCGCGGCGCAGUUUACGUGGUGGUGGACGGAGCUCGCCGCUGGCAGGCCUGCCCUGUUGCUCGUCGUGUACCUGCCCCUCCGCAGCGCCGUCGAGGUGUACACGACGCGGACGUGGCAGCGCCUCGCCGCACGACACGUGCCGAAGGGGAGUGUGCUGCUGCGAUGCUGUGGGGCGCCAUGUGAAGCAAUGCGAGGGACGUCAGACUACCACGGACAAGACCGACCCGCUGCUGCUUGUGAUGGUAAUGGCACUGCCCCGCUGCUCAUGGACCCUGCCGGAAACGUGUUCCGUGUUGGUAUACAGUGGGUGCUCGACAAUCCACAGGCAAGCCUCGCUCGCCUGCGCUCCACGCAGCCCGCAUCGCUGAGGGAAGGCGCAGAAGAGGCGUGUCCCGCUAGGAAGACGUGUUCGCUGAGCACAUCGGUGCUGCGGGGUUGCCAGACCCCGGAUGAUUUCCUUGAACUUGCUCUGAAGCUGCCCUUGCCAUGCCCGCGCGUGCAGCGAGUGGCCUCCGCAGGAGGAGGAUGCAGUGUUGCUGGUGGCGAUGAGGUGCGCGGUUACGUAAAGGAGCUGGCCGUGCUCUGCGAGACAGUCCAGCGUCGUUUUGCGCCAGGGUACGCAGAGAUCGCCGUGACACCGAUCCCGAGCUCCGCGCAGGACAUUCUGGGCGGCGCGGUGACGGCAGUGCCGCGAGGCGUGACCGCGGCACAGUGCCUUCACUACGUUCAAGUGUAUGCGAGCUUGGUGGAGAACUACCAGCGCUUCCUCACCUGCAAAGACGUCGCUGCGACCCUUUACUUCGACCCACACCAGUGGACCUCACCCCUUGUGACUCCGGACCUGUGGAAGGCGACGUUCUGCAUCGCGGCACAUCCUGCCGUAGCUGUUUUUGUGAAAACCAUGGACGCGUAUGUCGCCGCAACCCUCGCAGCGCACCCCGCCGAACUGCACAUCUACAAGAAGCACGUCUCCACGUACCUGCAGCAGGCGAUGCGCGGCCCCCCUCGUGCAUCUGCUUCAGCGGGGUCAGGCAGCACAUGCCCUGCGGCGCGGGAGCUGCUGACAACCAGAGCGGCGCCGUGCUUGGCCGACCCCUCCAGCUUCAUGCCCCUUCCCGCCUUUCUGCGCUGCUUCUACGUCGGCUCGAUGCACCCCACCUUUCUGCGCGGUGCCAUCGAGAGCGCCGAAGACGCCGACGGCAGCGUCAGCAUUCUUGGCCCCUUAUCCGACCUCGUCUUUGGGGUUUGGGGCAUGGACAGCUUUCUCGCGCAGCUUCCCGCGCUCCGACAGGUUGGCUGCGCAGACGGCGAUGUCGCGCACAUCACUGUCACUUGGGUGGCGCGUCAAGCCGGCCGCGACCUGGCCGCGUUGCUGUCCACCACCACAGUAGGAUGCCUCGCUGCCACGCUGCUCAGCUUCUCUGACGACCACUUCGCGGCGGCUUUGGCACGGGCACCGAUCCCGUUUGUCUCCGUUAAUGGCGAUUUGGCGGCUCGCGCGGCGGUGGACAGCGUGACAGGCCUGCUGUGGUGCUGUGCAGUACGGGUGGCGCUGCGGCGACGGACGUCGUCCUUCGCACAAAGCGAGCUGCUGCUGCGCCGCAUGCGGCAGCUACUUCAACUGUGGCAUAGUCUCUCCAAGUGCUCACCCCCACUGAGCGCCCCCGAGUCCACGGAUGCGGAUCCGGGGCGGAGCGGCAGCCCCGCCUCCGAGGACGCGCUGGCCUUGCAUCUCCGCCUGAGCGGCGUCGAUCCGUCGUGCUUGCCAACCGCAGAGGCUGCCGGUCGUACGUGGGACAGCGGCGGAAGAAAAGUGACCGCGACAAGUGUGGUUGCCUGCUCUGAGGGGGACGUCAUGGAGGUGUAUCUGCAGCGCAACGGCAUCACAGCCACGUUCCUGGAUGUCUUCGCGGUGCCGCGAGCAGACGCCGACGCGGACGCCGCCCGUUUUUUCCCGUCCCUUUCUGCCUUUGUCUCGCUGCUCGGCGAGACGGCGCACGCUUGCGAGCCAGACGCCGUUGCCGUCCCGUCUUUGGCGUGGAUCGUCGGGCACCAGUGGGAUGUGGAGCGGUUUCGCAACGCGGCACUGCGGCCAAUCGAGCAGCUCUGGCAGCAGCUGACCUCGACGUCCGCAAAGGACGGCACAGGCGGGCCCUUGAGUAGCAGCUCGUCGGCCAUGUACGCGUCCUGCCUCAUUCUCGUGACCAUGAGCGUCCUGCAGCACGUCUUGCGCCCUCUCACCGACUUAGAUUUUUUUUUCUGGGAAACCGACGCCGUCCCUGAUGGAAAUUUCUUUCCUGUCGACGGCACCCCAUCCGGUCUCGUGCUGUCCGGCAGUCGCACCACUCGCGACUACCUGAACAGUGUGCAGCGACUCUCGAGUCUGCUGGAGAGCAUGUUGCUGCGCGUCGUCGCGCCGCUCGAGAACGCCGAGCGGGCUCUCCUCAUUCAGCAGAUCAACCUUGCCUUGGCAGCGGACGACGCGCUCCUCUUCCCGCUCGUGCCCAAUUUCCUGCGUGUGCGGCUGACGAUUUGGAUGCAGGUACUGGCCCAGACCCCGCGCGCCCCGCUGCGGCGGACGCAGCGAGUGCGGCGGCUGGUGGAGCUGAUCCUCUUCUUUUCCGAGGUGUCCUCCUUGACGGUGGGCGGUGUGCCGCUGACGCAGCUGCAGUCUCACCUCUCCAUUCCGUGGAGGGUCUUGCUCGGUGGUCCCAGCAGGCGGAUGCAGCUUCAGCUUCUCCCCACCGUGGCCCUCACGGACAGGGCGUCGCUGACAGCCUGUCGUGCCUCUCCGGUGGUCACCGCCUCGCGAUCCACGCGGCGCGCCGACUCCGUGCUUUCGCCGUACGCGGCGGAGGAGGAAGAUACACACAGUGCCCCGCUGAACGCGCGGGCAGCGGCAACGGUGCUUCGACGGUUUCUGGCCGCUGGAGGCGUCUUGCACGCGAAGCAGCGUGGAGCGGCCGCGAUCACCGCAGCAGGGCCAACGCCUUGCCUCGGUCUCAUCGCCGAGGAUACGCGUCAAGCCCUGGCGCGUCUAGCACAGUGCCUCGGCCUCCACGAGUCUUUCCCCGACAUCGCCGAUGUGGUGCUUAUGGACUACGAGAUCAAGCAUCUGUUCCCCGUCGCUACUGUAGAACAGGAGAUGUUGCUGUUGUCCUCCAAGGCGGCCGCGCCCCAGGUGGCGGCAUCGAUUCUGCAGUCAUUUUUGGUUCUCAUUCUUCAGUGCAUGUCGGCGCGGCGUAACGGGUAUGGGCAGCGCGGCGACCGUGCCGCCUACGACGCUGCUUCGAAACAGCUGCGUAGCAUGGCACAGGCCGCCUCGGUGGAGUUACGAACGUGGCUGCAAGAACGCGAGGAAGAGAUGACGGUGGCAGCGACGCCCGAGAGCAGGACGAAGAGGGGCGCAGCGGGUGGCAGAGACUCCACAUCGUCUGCCCUACGCGGCCCUUGCGCUGUGCCGGCCGAGUCCGUCUUGGCUGGGCCCGGGUGGGUGACAUCAGCAGAACACCAGGAGAUGGGCCGCCUGGUGUCGUCCGUCCUUUCGACCGGGAAGGGAAGUGCGGCCAACAAAAACCUCUUCCACCUGCUCUUCACACUCUCGCAGUGGGCAUGCGAAGGUCGCCUGUACCUCCCAUCUGCUGCGCAGCGAGUGGCCCACGAACUGCCGCUGAUCGUUGAGAGGUGGGAGAAGCUGAUUUGAGGCCGGGGCACGCGUUUAAUCGAGCGCUGCUGCGUGUCGCCCCAUUGUUGAACUCUUAGCUGCUGCGCCGUCGUCGAUGGCGGAUUCCCUUAGCGCCUUCGUGGGCUCGGUCGUCUCUUCUCCUUUGCCGUGCCUACCCCGUGUGCGCGCGUAGCGUACCGGUGCCUGGCGUGCUUAGCCCCGCGCUAUUCGUGUAUGUGUGUGUGCGCGCGAAGCUGCUCCGAUGCGGUGCGCCGCAGCUGGUCG